rnacentral:lncRNA from 1 species
GGACAAUUCAAAAAAAUAAAAAAAGGCUCCGAGUAUUCCUAGAAUUUUUUCCAAACACUGCUUUUCAUACAGCCAACCGCAACUUUAGGUAAAAACGAUUGCUCCUCGUUAACGCAAGUAGAAUAGAAUAGCGAUAGAUCAAGAUGAAAUUAACCCAAGUUUGAAGGAGGCAAUUUACCUACGGAAUGAAAAGUUUGUUAUAAUGAAAGUGUGGGAAAGAGACAAAGUAGGGUGCCACAGAUGAGAAGGACCAAACAAUAUAACGAUUGACAAAUGCCCGUUUUUUUUUCUUUUUUUUUUUUCUUUGUUUAUGAUUCGGCUUUAAACUACUGCAAGUUUUUGAAGCGGCACUUGAGGCGUUAAAGCAUUAAUUAAAUCGCUGUGACCGGUUAGUGACAAUAAUGGCAACUAAGUCAGAUAGCAAUAAAUAUGGUAAGAGCAAGAAGGACCAAAGUUGCGAAUUUGCGAUGGAGCGGAUGAAGAAUGAGGAUAGAUCCGUUUUAGAUUUCCCAAAUUCUGGAGUAAGAAAAAUAAAAUGUGGUUUUAA